AAAAAAAAAGAGGCUAGUUUUAACCCAGAGCAUUGCCCUGUUCCCACUCACCAUGUGGCUGCACAAACAUCUGGCAGAAGGGAGAGAGAUGCAAAUGGCAAUAAUCAGGCAGAGGACUGGAAGGCACUAUUUAAACAUGUUGAUGAACUGAGCUGGAUUUCUCCCCACCUCCAUUCCAGCAAAACAAGGAGACUCAGAAGAUAAAAUUUGUGUUGUUAUUGCAAGUAGUGCUAUGUGCCUUUCUUCUGCCAAUGUCUGGAUGGGAAUCCCUUCAGCCUGUCAACACCUAACUUUAAUUAGCUGAAGAAAUUUCUCAAAGUGCUCCUUCUCUCGUUGAGCUGUUUCUGCAACCAUUUUAGUGCCAAAAACCCCAUGGAAUCAGGAGUGACAAAAGGCAGGUCAUCAAUGGACCAUGGCUGAGGUGGUGUCACGUGUCUUCUCCACCACCAUUGGCCAACGAGGCCUUCAAAACUUCAGCAGAAUAAAUCGCAUGAAGAAUGCAGCCACCUGAACAAAACAAUAAAUGAAUGAAAUCCAUGUUCUUGUGACUAAUAAGGAGACAAAAGAAGAUGUUACUGCAAAAUAUUCGGGUAUCUUCAAUAUAUGAGAUUUUUCUGAAAAGCUGAAAUCCAGCAGAGCAGGAGAAUUUAUAAGAUCCAACAGUUAUUGUUCUGAUGUAUUCUAGAUUGAUAUCCUUCCAUUCAGUAUUCUGAAUUAUUGUUGGAAAUAUUAUACAUCUCAGGUAUGAAGAGUGAAAAAUCCUGAGCUAUAUGAAAACAAAUUAAUAUGCUGAAAUGUCAACUGAGAAUUAUGAAAGUGCCUGUGUUUUUGCCAGAAAAAGAAUGUAAAAUCAAGCAACUAUUGUAGUGCUCAGAAACACCUCCAAUAGCAUACACCCAAAUAAAGAAACAUCAGAAAAAUUAAUACAGUCAUUAAAAUGCAAAAAUUCUAUCUUCUAUAAUAAUUAUUAGAAUGAGUCCUAGAAAGCAGUAUAACCCACUUUUUGUAGUAUCUUCAAAAUAUAUGGAUGUGCUUUAAAGAAAUCAGGAUCUUCCUAAGCAGAGAAGACAUGAAAAGAUUCUGCCACACUGUUUCAGGCCACACGUGACACAUCUACUGCCUUCCCUGCCUUUAAAUGUUAGAGCGGCUCCAGUCAACUGACAGGAUUUGGGUAUAGACCUUUCAAAGGGUAUUCUUACACUAUAAACACAAUAUACUUCGCCAAACAUAUGAUCACAUGAAUGUAUUCAGUGUUGUUCAGCACAUUCAUUCACUAAAGCUCUAAACUUGCUGAAUUAAUGACAUACCUUACAGGUCUUCUUCAGCCUUAAACUGGUCAAUCUGGGGGUCUGUUGUAUUGUUCUUGUAGGUUUUCAUAGCAAUUUUGCUGAAUGAACCGAUUUAAAAAUGUGUAUAUAGACCCUAAAGACUUGUCCAAAAUACAGAAGUUUAUGUUUAGAAUGAUUGUGGAAAUCUAAGGUAGUGGGAUGCUGAGUACAAAAGGUCAAUUAGCGCAGACCAGAGCAAUAUCUUGUGCACCAUUUUUGCAUUCAUCAUUCAGGACAAGUGAGGUUUUGCAUAUUUUGUAGCAGAAAUAAUCAGCAACUUUUAGAACAAAAAUAAAUAUGUGUUGACCAUCCCUA